AUGAGGAAGGAGGAGCGUGCAGCCGUGGAACAGAUGAUGACCGAGGAGCGUGCAGCCAUGGAUCAGAGGUUGAAGCAUUUCCAUGACGAUAUGGACCUAAAAUUGAAGCAGGAGCGCAAGGACCUGGAUCGCGCUAUGCAACUCGAGCGUGGCAGGAUGGAAUUCAAUAUCAUGCAGGCGCGUGCGAACAUGGACCGUAUGUUGCAGCAGGAGCGUAAUGACAUGAAUCACAAGGCCAAGAUGGAGGGGAUCCGAUUGGAAGGGAAUGGGAAUAUGAUGCAAGACCGCGUUCUACAUCUCGAGCGUGGUAAAAUGGGCUUCAAUAACAUGCAGACGCGUGCGGGCAUGGACCUUAACUUACCGAAGGACCGCAAUGAUCUGGAUUACAAGGCCAAGAUGGAGCAGAUCCGCAUGGAAGGAAAUACGAUGUAG
rnacentral:rRNA from 1 species